GGAUUGUGGCUCAGCGGUAAAGCGCUCACCUAGCAUGGGCAGGACCUGGGUUCAAUCCUCAGCACCA
rnacentral:tRNA from 1 species